rnacentral:rRNA from 2 species
ACAUCCAAGUCGAGCGAAUCGAUGGGAGCUUGCUCCCUGAGAUUAGCGGCGGACGGGUGAGUAACACGUGGGCAACCUGCCUAUAAGACUGGGAUAACUUCGGGAAACCGGAGCUAAUACCGGAUACGUUCUUUUCUCGCAUGAGAGAAGAUGGAAAGACGGUUUCGGCUGUCACUUAUAGAUGGGCCCGCGGCGCAUUAGCUAGUUGGUGAGGUAAUGGCUCACCAAGGCCGACGAUGCGUAGCCCGACCUGAGAGGGUGAUCGGCCACACUGGGACUGAGACACGGCCCAGACUCCUACGGGAGGCAGCAGUAGGGAAUCUUCCGCAAUGGACGAAAGUCUGACGGAGCAACGCCGCGUGAACGAAGAAGCCUUCGGGUCGUAAAAGUUCUGUUGUUAGGGAAGAACAAGUCCAGAGUAACUGCUGGUACCU